GAUGUUCAUAUAACAAAAUAUAUACAAAUUAAAACCUAAAUAGGGACAUAGAAGUAUACUUAAUAAUGUCCUUAGCUUCACCAUCAGCUCAAGCCUGAAAGAGGAACAGAGUCGCGUGACAGAAACAGUGAUGAAGCUCGUAUGUGUUUGCAGUACACAACCCACGGACGGUUAAGACAGCUGACUCUCUCUCUCUCUCUCUCUCCCUCUCUCUCUCAAAAAAGUAAGAAAAAAAAAAUAACUGAAUAAUGAUGUGAAUAACUAAAUGAAUAAAUUACUCUUUAAUACUUAAAGGGGUCAUUUGAUGCGAUUUACAUUUUUUCUUUCUCUUUGGAGUGUCACAAGCUCUUGGUGCAUUAAAGAAUAUCUGUAAAAUUGCAAAGACUAAAGUCUCAAAUCCAAAGAGAUAUUCUUUAUCAAAGUUAAGACUCUGCCACGCCCCCCUAAAACGGCUCGUUCUAACACGCCCCCACAUCUCUACGUCACGAUGUGGAAAUAUUUGCGUAAUGCCGCCCAAAUGUUCACGCAAAGAAAGAAGCCGUGGUUUCAGUAACACAGUUAGUGUUGAAGCAGUCAUGUCAGGGAGAUGCUGUGUGUUUCUAGGAGAAAGUAAAAGCACUUUCUUAUGCAAACACAUACGAGCUUCAUCACUGUUUCUGUCACGCGACUCUGUUCCUCUUUCGGGCUUGAGCUGAUGGUGAAACUAAGGACAUUAUUAACUGUCUUUACAUUUAUUUUGAAAGAUGAAGCUUGUGAUUAGGGAAAGGGGCGUUACAUUUCCGACGAGUGCUUGGGGUGUUCGGCCAAUCACAAUGCACUGGGUCAGUUGGCCAAUCAGAGCAGACUGCGCUUGUCCCUAACACCCUAACAAAGCUGAAAUGUGGUACUUUAUUCACUAAAAUAAGUUUAAUCUUACCAUAUCCAAAAACUCGCUCACUCUGCUGUUAUUUAAUAGAUUAAAUGCACUAGAAUGUUAUUGAAUAGCUGAGUGCUGUAGUUCAUUUAUAGCCUAAGUUCUGGCGCUUUUAUUAGGCUUCAAAAUUCAUCAAAGUUAUAUUAUUGUGUGAAGAUUAUCUUAAUGGACAAAACGUGUAAAUUUCAUGAACUAUGUUUGAACACAGAGCCUAUUUUUUGCGAUAAUCCAAAAGCCUAUGGAAAAAUCCUGUAGGCAUUUUGUCGAGGGUCGGAACCAGUGUCAUGCUAACAGCUGAUCAGCUUCUUUAAUUUGAUUC
rnacentral:lncRNA from 1 species